rnacentral:snoRNA from 2 species
CACCUCUCAGGGUCACAACUGGAGAGUUUCCAGUAUUCUACCAGUCUCGGCUACGGGAGGGAGAGUCAAGCAGAGGCCUACCCAUUCCAUUCCUAGCUUGGGCAGUGGCUAGAGAGUGGAAGACAAUCUACUACAAGU